rnacentral:rRNA from 1 species
GACCUUCGGGCCUCAUGCCAUCAGAUGUGCCCAGAUGGGAUUAGCUAGUAGGUGGGGUAACGGCUCACCUAGGCGACGAUCCCUAGCUGGUCUGAGAGGAUGACCAGCCACACUGGAACUGAGACACGGUCCAGACUCCUACGGGAGGCAGCAGUGGGGAAUAUUGCACAAUGGGCGCAAGCCUGAUGCAGCCAUGCCGCGUGUAUGAAGAAGGCCUUCGGGUUGUAAAGUACUUUCAGCGGGGAGGAAGGCGAUAAGGUUAAUAACCUUGUCGAUUGACGUUACCCGCAGAAGAAGCACCGGCUAACUCCGUGCCAGCAGCCGCGGUAAUACGGAGGGUGCAAGCGUUAAUCGGAAUUACUGGGCGUAAAGCGCACGCAGGCGGUCUGUCAAGUCGGAUGUGAAAUCCCCGGGCUCAACCUGGGAACUGCAUUCGAAACUGGCAGGCUAGAGUCUUGUAGAGGGGGGUAGAAUUCCAGGU